rnacentral:rRNA from 1 species
GACGAACGCUGGCGGCGUGCUUAACACAUGCAAGUCGAGCGGAAAGGCCCUUCGGGGUACUCGAGCGGCGAACGGGUGAGUAACACGUGAGUAACCUGCCCCAGGCUUUGGGAUAACCCUCGGAAACGGGGGCUAAUACCGAUAUUCAUGCGCGGCGGCAUCGCUGGGUGUGGAAAGUUUUCGGCUUGGGAUGGGCUCGCGGCCUAUCAGCUUGUUGGUGGGGUGAUGGCCUACCAAGGCGACGACGGGUAGCCGGCCUGAGAGGGCGACCGGCCACACUGGGACUGAGACACGGCCCAGACUCCUACGGGAGGCAGCAGUGGGGAAUAUUGCACAAUGGGCGGAAGCCUGAUGCAGCGACG